UCCUUCUCCUCCCCCGGCUUCUCCUGCGAGUCCGACUGGCACCGGCUGAAGUGGUCCUGCUGUUGCUUCCCGCCUGUGAAAGCAUCGGGUGCCUCCGUCGUCUCCGAUUUGGGGGAGGGAGGGGAGAGAGUGGCGGCGGCGUCGAGGGUGAAAUCGCCGGAUCGGAAGCGGUAGAGGCCGAUGGAGCGGAGGCGUUCGAGGACGGCGGAGGGGCCGCGGGAUAUGGGACGGAGGUGGUCGUCGUCGUCGCGGUGGCGGUGGGAGCGAAGGGUCUUGGAGGUGAGGGCGAUGGUGCCGAUGACGAGAUUGAGGAGCACGAAGAGGACGGUGGGGGAGAGCCAGUCGCGUACGGAGGACCACAUCGACGGCCACGAUUCUU
rnacentral:lncRNA from 1 species